rnacentral:lncRNA from 1 species
CUAUACAUUUUCAGGAACCUCUACAUACCGCUCUUAUGUAAGGAGAAUCAGGGUGUUUCAAUAGCCCGUGCAUUUGUUUGACAGUGAGCUUCAUUGUAAAGAACUUGUAAAGAAGACAGAAAGAAGUUGAAGGACCACGACAAUUCCCCGUCAUCCAUGGUUCCACGUGAUCAACUUGAUUGUAGAUCUCAUCAAUAACUUCAUGGUAUGUUUUUAAGCGAUAGAGCUCCU